GACGAACGCUGGCGGCGUGCUUAACACAUGCAAGUCGAACGAAGUGGCGAACGGGUGAGUAACGCGUCAUCAACCUGCCCUUCAGAGGGGGACAACAGUUGGAAACGACUGCUAAUACCGCAUACUGAAGGAGGGGAUUGUGUCUGAUUAGCUAGUUGGCGGGGUAACGGCCCACAAAGGCGAUGAUCAGUAGCUGGUUGGAGAGGAUGAACGGCCACAGUGGGACUGAGACACGGCCCAGACUCCUACGGGAGGCAGCAGUGGGGAAUCUUCGGCAAUGGACGAAAGUCUGAUCCAGCAAUGCCGCGUGAGUGAAGAAGGUGUUCGGAUCGUAAAACACUUUUGGUAGAGAAGCGGUAUCUAACCAGAAAGCCACGGCUAACUACGUGCCAGCAGCCGCGGUAAUAC
rnacentral:rRNA from 1 species